UGUUCUGUGGCUUAGUUGGUUAAAGCGCCGGUCAAGCGAAUAUGGAGUCGCGAGUUCGAAUCUCACCACAACAU
rfam:Aedes albopictus isolate Foshan contig77272, whole genome shotgun sequence.